rnacentral:rRNA from 1 species
AUUGAACGCUGGCGGCAUGCUUUACACAUGCAAGUCGAACGGUAACAGGCCGCAAGGUGCUGACGAGUGGCGAACGGGUGAGUAAUGCAUCGGAACGUGCCCAGUCGUGGGGGAUAACUACUCGAAAGAGUAGCUAAUACCGCAUACGAUCUAUGGAUGAAAGCGGGGGACCGUAAGGCCUCGCGCGAUUGGAGCGGCCGAUGCCAGAUUAGGUAGUUGGUGGGGUAAAGGCUCACCAAGCCAACGAUCUGUAGCUGGUCUGAGAGGACGACCAGCCACACUGGGACUGAGACACGGCCCAGGCUCCUACGGGAGGCAGCAGUGGGGAAUUUUGGACAAUGGGCGCAAGCCUGAUCCAGCAAUGCCGCGUGCAGGAAGAAGGCCUUCGGGUUGUAAACUGCUUUUGUACGGAACGAAACGGCUCUGGUUAAUACCCGGGGCUAAUGACGGUACCGUAAGAAUAAGCACCGGCUAACUACGUG